UACGUAGGUGGCAAGCGUUUGUCCGGAUUAUUGGGUUUAAAGGGUGCGUAGGCGGCCCUGUAAGUCAGUGCUGAAAUAUCCCAGCUUAACUGGGAGGGUGGCAUUGAUACUGGCGGGGCUAGAGUACAGAUGAGGUAGGCGGAAUUGACGGUGUAGCGGUGAAAUGCUUAGAUAUCGUCAAGAACACCUAUAGCGAAGGCAGCUUACUAGGCUGUAACUGACGCUGAGGCACGAAAAGUGUGGGGAUCAAACAGG
rnacentral:rRNA from 1 species